UACGAAGGGUGCAAGCGUUACUCGGAAUUACUGGGCGUAAAGCGUGCGUAGGUGGUUUGUUAAGUCUGAUGUGAAAGCCCUGGGCUCAACCUGGGAAUUGCAUUGGAUACUGGCAGGCUAGAGUGCGGUAGAGGAUGGCGGAAUUCCCGGUGUAGCAGUGAAAUGCGUAGAGAUCGGGAGGAACAUCUGUGGCGAAGGCGGAUCUCUGGGCCAUUACUGACGCUGAGGAGCGGAAGCGUGGGGAGCGAACAGG
rnacentral:rRNA from 1 species